rnacentral:rRNA from 1 species
CAGUCGCCACGGUAAUACGUAGGUCCCGAGCGUUGUCCGGAUUUAUUGGGCGUAAAGCGAGCGCAGGCGGUUAGAUAAGUCUGAAGUUAAAGGCUGUGGCUUAACCAUAGUAUGCUUUGGAAACUGUUUAACUUGAGUGCAGAAGGGGAGAGUGGAAUUCCAUGUGUAGCGGUGAAAUGCGUAGAUAUAUGGAGGAACACCGGUGGCGAAAGCGGCUCUCUGGUCUGUAACUGACGCUGAGGCUCGAAAGCGUGGGGAGCAAACAGGAUUAGAUACCCGCGUAGUCCCUGUCUCUUAUACA